CGCCUUUUGAACUAUAAACAUAAAAGGUCCUGCCUGCCCAGUGACAAUUGUUUCAACGGCCGCGGUAUCAUGACCGUGCAAAGGUAGCGUAAUCACUUGUCUUUUAAAUAAAGACCAGUAUGAAUGGCAAGACGAAAGCCUAACUGUCUCCUUAAGCUAAUCAAUGAAAUUGAUCUUCCCGUGCAGAAGCGGGAAUAAUAAUAUAAGACGAGAAGACCCUGUGGAGCUUCAAAAUUAAGCUAACAGAUCAUAAUGCUUUAGUAUACAGUUUUGGGUUGGGGCGACCAUGAGGUAAAACACAACCCUCGAGACGAAAACUAAGAAGGACACUUCAAAUAAAUAACAAUAUAGUAAUUGACCCAAUAAUUGAUCAACGAACCAAGUUACCCCAGGGAUAACAGCGCAAUCUACUCAAAGAGCCCUUAUCGACGAGCAGGUUUACGACCUCGAUGUUGGAUCAGGACUUCCAAAUAAUGUAACAAUUAUUAAAGGUUCGUUUGUUCAACGAUUAAAGUCCU
rnacentral:rRNA from 1 species